CCAGACUCCUACGGGAGGCAGCAGUAGGGAAUUUUCGUCAAUGGGCGCAAGCCUGAACGAGCGAUGCCGCGUGAGUGAAGAAGGCCUUCGGGUCGUAAAGCUCUGUUGCGGGGGAAAAAAGGCAGCAUCAGGAAAUGGGUGCUGACUGAUGGUGCCCCGCCAGAAAGUCACGGCUAACUACGUGCCAGCAGCCGCGGUAAUACGUAGGUGGCGAGCGUUAUCCGGAAUGAUUGGGCGUAAAGGGUGCGCAGGCGGUCCUGCAAGUCUGGAGUGAAACGCAUGAGCUCAACUCAUGCAUGGCUUUGGAAACUGGAGGACUGGAGAGCAGGAGAGGGCGGUGGAACUCCAUGUGUAGCGGUAAAAUGCGUAGAUAUAUGGAAGAACACCAGUGGCGAAGGCGGCCGCCUGGCCUGUUGCUGACGCUGAGGCACGAAAGCGUGGGGAGCAAAUAGGAUUAGAUACCCGAGUA
rnacentral:rRNA from 1 species